rnacentral:lncRNA from 1 species
AAUGGAGGAUGUGGUAUCUCUCUUUUGUUUUCUUAUUCACUUUCUUUUUCCGUUCGUUCAUCGUUUUAUGUGGGAUUGCUCGUCUAUUUAUAAGGGAUUCCAAAAUCCUAAUAGCGUAAGAGAUAAGGCCAAAUCGGUUAUUAACUGUUAUCCUAAUAUGAUUAGAAUUCAUCUCUAAUUAGCUUUCCAAUUUAAAAGCGAGAUUAAUCCUAAUCCAAUUAAAUAACAUAAUAACCGUCGGAUCGAGCCCGAUCAUGGGCGCACCCGAUUCGAUUUAACCGAAUACCAACAUCUCCCACUCGCACAUAACGGGAUCGAUGCCAUCGCAACCACUUCCUCAAUAUUACACCACUAUUAAUUCUAUUCAUACAGGAAAAUGAACAGUGCGACCGCCGAGUCAACCUGCAUUUUGGGAGCUCUAUACU